UGGGAGGUGAGGUGAGGACAGACAUGCAGUGAGUAUUCACGGCUUUGUUGACGUCUGUAGCCUGAGGCUGGGAAGACAGGACUCACGUAUUUGAGACAUCAGAGACCCAGAUUCAACCCCCAGGACCAUCAGAGUUGCCAGUUUCAAGAUGCAUCAGAGGAAUUCCAGAGCAGCUUAUUCAACCAAAAGUCAGAACAGAUCGUUAAAGGGAAUAAAAACAGAACAAAGGAGUUUUCAAACAGUC